CUCACCCUCCCAACAGCCGCCGCCGCCCUACUCCCUCUCUCGCUCGUGUCUCUCACCCCAUCGAGAUCCUCCUCCAUCUCGAUCCUCCUCGUCGCCAGGAUGGCGCUACCCUUCAUCUCUGACCUCGAUCCGCACGGGGCCGGUGCAGAUCAAGUACUGAAGCUACCCGACCACCGUCGGGAGCGAUGUCCGACGGAUUGAAGCCACCACCAACCUUGUUGAUGUAUGCAGGCCAUCCUCAUCUAUGUGCUUGACGAACCGAAGCUGCCGGAUUUGCCAUGCUUGCAAAGAAGACACCGGUGCUGACCAGCUAGCUUGGCAUUUGUUGGCUCGAUCCAGAGGUGGUUUGCUGGGCAGUAGAAUUUUUUUUCAGCAAGCACACAAAAGGCAAGGCUGAAAAUUGAGAUUUCAGAAAAAGUUUGUUGGUUUCUACUUCAAUUGGUCUGUGUUGGUUUCUACUUCAACUGGUAUGUCUUGAUUUCAGAUAAGUCUGAUUGGGAUUAAGGCCUUGCUCUUUUUUUGUUAAUUUCAGUUAGCAAUAGUGGAAUCAGUGGCAGGAUAAGUUUCAUUCUCUUUGUUUUCUAUGCUAGUAAAAUCUGUCAAGUGUUAACUUAAAAGUUGAAAAUUUAGAGCCACAGAUGAAUGAUUGUUCCAUGUCUAUGAUCUUGAUGGUUCCUAUUAGAAGAAAGGACAUGUAUUUCUUUGUUGUAAACUACAGUAGAAAUUUCCUGAAUUGAAACUAAGAGCCCAUCUACUACUUUGCUAGUAGCAAUUAAGAUUGAAAAGUCAUUUGCUUUGUGAGGGUGACAAGUAUGAAUUGAUUUUUCUAUUUAGAUUGGAUUGAUACAUGCUAGUUUGUUGUUGCUGUUGCUGUCCUCUAAAUCACCAAGUAGUAGUCUUAAUCGAGCCCUUCAUCGGUGAUGAGCACGCAACAGGUACGCUUGCCUGCUCCAUUCCCUUCUGUAAUACAGAGCUUGGCUAUUUGCAUCUAGAUCUAGCUAUGGCUAUUUGCAUCUGGAUCUAUUGGGGCUCUCACCUGCGUCACUUGCGAUGGCACGACCUAAACCAAGUGUGGAUCUGGCCCUCCAACAUGCAGUUCACAGAGGAGACCGAGGACAGUGUGUAGGCUGAUGAGCGAUCAUGAGGGAUCCCAGGAGGCAUGGGCGCAGGAUGCAUGUCGAUGUGGGGGUGGCGUACCUCCUGCCCUCCUGUCAUCGGCCAUCAACACAGGGCAUAGCCGCUGCCACUACUUGCCUUAGCUCGAAGAAUCAUGGUGUUUGCGUCAGUCAUUGGCAUCUUCGUACAUGUAUUAUAUUGAAGCAUGAUCGAUUAUUAUUUUCAGCUUUGUUUGAUGCAUGAGCUCUCUGAUCUGUGUCUCUUUGUGCAGCAGCUUCUGUGUUGUAGCUUCCUUGUUUUUUUUCAUAGCAGCUAAGCCACAUUUGCUUCUUGGUUCUAACAGAGCAGCAUCAGUUCAGAUGUAUCGUUUUCUUCAGAGCUAGCAGUUCAAUGUUUCUCCAGCAGCAAGUGUUCAACAACAAGUGCAGUACUGCAGUAGCAGAGCAGUUCAGUGUGUUGCUUAGUUUCAGAGCAGUUCAGUGUACGCAGUAGCAGAGCAGCAAGAAGGGAAUUGGUGGAUAAACAAUAUUGGAGAAAUGCUUGACAAAGGAGCAUCAUUCCACUAAGGCGGCUGCAUUGCUUAUUUGCGGCAUGAAGAGACAAUUGUUGGCUGUAUAAAUUAGUCUUGUUUUUAAAUUGCUUCAUCAUCAAUGUGUAAAUAUUUAUAU